GUUGCAGGUAUAAUAUUUUUUCAAAUUCUGUGAGUGGAGUGAGCACAGAGGAUUUAAAAGAUGGUGAUUCUAAAAGGUGCGGAACUGCGUAGGAUCCUUGGCCGGGAUAAACCAAGAUUGUCCACUGAACGUGCUUAGUUUCGAAGAAGAUGUGGAGGCCAGCAACGAUAUACAAUGACCCCUAAUGAAGGCC